AUGGCUCUGGAUGUGAAGUCUCGGGCGAAGGGCUAUGAGAAGCUGGACUUCCUUGGGGAGGGACAGUUUACAAGGCCAGAGAUAAGAAUACCAACCAAAUGGUCGCCAUUAAGAAGGUUAUAAUAAAGGAUAAUAGUCUUGUGCUGAUACCAUCACACAUCAAAGCCUACAUGCUGAUGACUCUUCAAGGAUUAGAAUAUUUACAUCAACAGUGGAUCCUACACAGGGAUCUGAAACCAAACAACCUGUUGCUAGAUGAAAAUGGAGUUCUAAAACUGGCAGAUUUUGGCCUGGCCAAAUCAUUUGGGAGCCCCAAUAGAGCUUAUACAUAUCAGGUUGUAACCAGGUGGUAUCGGGCCCCUGAAUUACUAUUUGGAGCUAGAAUGUAUGGUAUGUGUGUAGACAUGUGGGCCGUUGGCUGUAUAUUAGCAGAGUUACUUCUAAGGAUUCCUUUUUUGCCGGGAGAUUCAGACCUUGAUCAGCUAAUGAGAAUAUUUGAAACUUUGGGCACACCAACUGAGGAACAGUGGCUGGACAUGUGUAGUCUUCCAGAUUGUGUGACAUUUAAGAGUUUUCCUGGAAUUCCAUUGCAUCAUAUCUUCAGUACAGCAGUAGAUGACUUACUAGAUCUCAUACAAGGCUUAUUCUUAUUUAAUCCAUGUGCUCGAAUUACGGCCACAGAGGCACUGAAAAUGAAGUAUUUCAGAAUUGCCAGGGCCAACAUCUGGAUGUCAGCUGCCAACACCAAAUUGUCCAGUGGAAACCUUAAAGGAGCAAUCAAAUCCGGCUUUGGCAACAAAAAGAAAAAGAACAGAUGCCUUGGAACAAAGAGGAUUGCCCAAAAAACUGAUUUUUUUAAACAGAACACUAGCCAACAUUUUACUACUGAAAGAAAGAGUCAAAAAGGGCUUCUAA